rnacentral:rRNA from 1 species
GUGAACGCUGGCGGUAGGCCUAACACAUGCAAGUCGAACGGCAGCACAGUAAGAGCUUGCUCUUACGGGUGGCGAGUGGCGGACGGGUGAGGAAUACAUCGGAAUCUACUUUUUCGUGGGGGAUAACGUAGGGAAACUUACGCUAAUACCGCAUACGACCUACGGGUGAAAGCAGGGGAUCUUCGGACCUUGCGCGAUUGAAUGAGCCGAUGUCGGAUUAGCUAGUUGGCGGGGUAAAGGCCCACCAAGGCGACGAUCCGUAGCUGGUCUGAGAGGAUGAUCAGCCACACUGGAACUGAGACACGGUCCAGACUCCUACGGGAGGCAGCAGUGGGGAAUAUUGGACAAUGGGCGCAAGCCUGAUCCAGCCAUACCGCGUGGGUGAAGAAGGCCUUCGGGUUGUAAAGCCCUAUUGUUGGGAAAGAAAAGCAGCAGGUUAAUACCCCGCUGUUCUGACGGUACCCAAAGAAUAAGCACCGGCUAACUUCGUG